GAUGAACGCUAGCGGCAGGCCUAAUACAUGCAAGUCGAACGGUGUCUUCGGACAUAGUGGCGCACGGGUGCGUAACACGUAUGCAACCUACCUUACAUUGGGGGAUAGCCUUUCGAAAGGGAGCUUAAUACCGCAUAAGACAGUAGCUGGGCAUCCAGCAGCUGUUAAAGAUUUAUCGAUGUAAGCUGGGCAUGCGUCCAAUUAGCUAGUUGGUGAGGUAACGGCUCACCAAGGCAAUGAUUGGUAGGGGAACUGAGAGGUCAAGCCCCCACACUGGCACUGAGAUACGGGCCAGACUCCUACGGGAGGCAGCAGUAGGGAAUAUUGGGCAAUGGACGCAAGUCUGACCCAGCCAUGCCGCGUGCAGGAUGAAGGCGUUAUGCGUUGUAAACUGCUUUUAUACAGGAAGAAACGACUCUUGCGAGAGGCAUUGACGGUACUGUAUGAAUAAGCACCGGCUAACUCCGUGCCAGCAGCCGCAGUAAGAC
rnacentral:rRNA from 1 species